rnacentral:tRNA from 1 species
GCUCCCAUAGUUCAAUGGAUAGAAUAGAAGACUCCUAAGCUUUAGAUGCAGGUUCGAUUCCUGCUGGGAGCACAA